ensembl:lncRNA
UCGGCAUCUGGGUCAGGUGGAAAUGAUUUGAAAGCAUUUUCCAUUUCAAACAUGAAUAUAUAUGUUAUAGAAUAGAGUCCUAGAUUGGUAGGCUUACACAAGGGAAUUUAGAGGAACGGACGCAAUUUUAAUGUGCACAGAAUACUGCAUUUAGGUGGGUUCUGCUGCAUCUAACAGACUCAUUGUGCUCAGAAGGACCCGGGGUGUGACACCAUGUCAUCUUAUAACAGCCCAUCACAUCAAAACAUCCUAACACAUGGACACGGUAUGACUGUAUGAUGGCACUUAUGACACUUAUGUCUAGAAACUUUCAUUUUGGAGCACAUACAGACUCACUUUGUUUUGCUUGUAUGUAUGACACAAAGGCGUUAUUUAUUAUAAUCCUAAAAAUGUUCAUCUUUCAAAAUACAUUAAAUCCUCUUAAGAUACAUCAUUUUUCUCACUCAAACAACAAACAUUUGCAGACGUUGCCCAAUUAUUAGAAGGGAUGGGGGCAAUUUUGUUGAGCACAGAAAUAAAGUUCACAACGGCUGUCAGUCAAACCCAUAAGCCCAUGAGCCUGAGAUUUGACAUCAUCCAUAGCACAUUACUGUGUUCCAAGUAUGGUGUACAUCAGUGCCCAUAUCUGCCAUUUCCAACCCGUAUAUGGGUUUUAAGAGUAAGGAGCUCCCUAUUUAAAAAUAUAAUACGCCUCUAAAGUGGCGUGUAAAAGUAUCUGUGUUAAUUCUGUGAAAGAUGGCCUCUCUUUAGCUGCAGCAGCUAGUCUUAUGUUUACAUUUCUCUUGUCAUUAAGUUUAGUAUGAAUAAAAAUUGUUAAUUGCAUAACUGACUGGCUUUAUAGCCAUACAACAGACAAAAGCCUUUUAAAUAUAAGAAAAUGUGUAACAAACAUAUUUUCAAAGUUAGGUAUGUAAGAUACAGUGAAUAUAGAAUUUUUAUAGGUUAUCACGUGUUUUAUAACACAACAAAUCUCACAGCUUUCUGUUGCUAAGUGCACAAACUAUAUAUUGUAGAAUAAAGCAAUAGUACACCUGACUAAACCACCACUUCGUCAAGGGUUGAGAUGAGGGUAGCAAUAAAAUAUAUCUAAAAUGCAGCUUUUGUAUAUGUAAAGGCUGAAAUCAAGAAAAAUCAAGGCUGACCUUUUUAUUCGCCUUAUAAAACAC